rnacentral:lncRNA from 1 species
UUUUGGAACCGUAAGAUGUUAGAACUAGUAACUUAGAAGUGAGACUAUUUUACUAAACUUAGGAAGUUUGAUCUUUUUCGCUGUCAGGCGUCACUCAUAUUCAUAGUGAAGGUUUAGGUGUUGUGUAAAACGUUGUCAUUUUAUAGGAUAAAAUAAGGUAAAUUGUGUAAGAAAUUCAGAACGUUAGGCCUUUAUAUGUGAUACAUAUAUUCUGAAUAGUCACAGUAAGAGUUGUGAAUAUCCAGAAUGAGCCCACCAGCCACGUCCAUACUUUGUUUACUUUCGAUAAAGUUUUUGGCUUUAGAUAUUCGAUCACAUGUGUCACCAUCACUUUGUUUAUUUACUAAAUUAGUUUGAGAAAUCUAUCCUAAGGCUUCAAUUUAAAAUACUGAAUGGCGAUGGAACCCGUGGCACACAGCAGGUGAUUGACUAAUGGAUUGAAUUGACACCAGCUAUAGUGGGGGCUAGCACUUAACAGGAGUUGAAGAAGAGGCUCGGUGAUUUCCUGAAAGAAAAGAGAAGAUGCAGUAUUUUCUAAAACAGUUUUAGCAUCAUAAGUACAUCACUCCAACAAUUCUUAAGACAGGUCGUUGCUGACCAGGAAGAGAAGGAAAUUAAAACACAUGUUCCAAAAGAUCAGCAUUGACUUUGCAUAUCACUAAAGUUUUCAGCCAAAGAAACGUAAAUGUUAUUGGAUGCUGUCACCGUCCAAUGGAUAACUUGGAAUUUUUGACCGGAUGUUGGAAGCUUUCUCUCAGGUUUAAGGAGUUAAUCUUUCCCAGCAGAAAUGGAUUGGUAAACUUGUGCUAGAAGCUGUAAAGAUGGAUAAGCAUAUAAGUAGAGGGAGAAAAACAAUACUGAAGGUUAUUGAAAAAUACUGUCUCUGAAGCAACAAUAAUCUUAGGAGAUGUAUAACAAUGUAUGCCUGACAAGUUCUUAACUCAGUAGAAUGAUCCUGAGCCUAGAUGAGAGUGUCUGAAAACAUAGAAUACUUGAUUGGUUGCUUCCCUGACAGUGUAUGUAUGAAACCAUGGUGGAGUUAUCUAAAUGGACAAGAAUAGCACAGUCCAGAACAAAAGAAUGAAGAUAUUAGCAAGCCCAAGAAUAGCACAGUCCAGAACAAAAGAAUGAAGAUAUUAGCAAGCCCAAGAUACUACAAAGUGCUUCAACAACUUACUAGGAAACUCACAAUAGAUGGCAUCUUUAAUUGCCUGAAUUGGUGGAUGAUGCAUCUGUGAAGAAACUCUGAGCAUCAUGUUAGGAUGAUUGAGCCAUCAUAUCUUUCAUGAGGGACUAGAAGAGUCUCUAACUCAAAAAGUAACAAAGUUUGUAAGCCAGCCAUAUUACAAAAUAAAAACAUAUUUCCACAAAAUGAACCCACAUGACAGAAGCACAAAGAACUGCGGUAAAUACAUAAGUAAUGUGAACCCAACUAGUGUAAUCACUUCAUUGCAUUGGAAAUAUUGUAAACCCAUAUAAUGUAUUCAGAUUCCUAGCACUGAAAACAUUGUAAGCCCAUUUAAUGUAUUCAAUCCCUAGCAUUAAAAGCAUUGUAAA